ACAGAAAAAAAAAGAAGGGGUUCCCUGUUUUGUCCCCUGGGUUAUCUUCUCUCCUUGUCCACCGACUCGAACUCAUCGCUGGCACUCAAAAGCUCUCAUCCAGUCACAACUUCCUCCUCUGCCUACUCAACGAUCACUUCUCUCUUCGACACUGACCACCACAACCACUCCUCUUUCAAUUUCUCCGAUCAGCUCACAAGCUUUUGAUUUAAAGGUAGGGUCUCCGCACAUUGUAGUCUUCAGCAUACACUACGAGGCUAUGGUCUCUUGGCUUGGAGGCUAAAGAUGGAGGUUUCACCAUGGUGUUACAUUUGCCUGGGUGUUGCUACCUUAGGCUAGUCCUACACUUCUAUUGAGAGAGAGAUAGAGAGAGAGAGAGAGAGAUCUUGCCACUUAUACCGCCUCAUAUAAAAAUGUCUAAACAAGCUAACGAACUUCCCUUGAAAAUCCAAAUGAUUUAUGCCCAUGUGCUCACCUUUUAUAAAUAUAAGGUAUUACCAUCCUGCAUAAGUUAGAACAUA